AUGAUGAACAAAUCUCUUUUCUUGGUUGGAGAAAUUGGGGGAAAUGACUACAAUGUUCCUCUUACCUCUUUGGUGCCUGUUGAGAAGAUUCGCUCGUUCGCUCCAAGUGUUAUUUCCAAAAUUUCAUCUAUAAUCACGGAUCUGAUCGGAUUGGGAGCCAAAACUCUAUUAGUUCCCGGCAACCUCCCAAUCGGGUGCUUGCCAGUGUACCUCACGAUGUACCAGAGUGAUGACACGGGGGAUUAUGAGUCAGACACGGGAUGUAUCCGUUGGAUGAACGAGUUCUCACGCUACCACAACAAACUUCUUGUGGAUGAGCUGGAAAAGUUACGGAAACUUCAUCCUAGUGUGUCGAUCAUCUAUGCUGAUUACUAUGGAGCUGCUAUGGAGAUAUUUGUUUCCCCUUAUCUGUUUGGGAUCGAGGAUCCUUUGGUGGCUUGCUGCGGUGUAGAAGGGCCUUAUGGUGUUUCAGUAACCACAAAGUGUGGACAUGGAGAAUACAAGGUGUGUGAUAACCCACAAAAGUAUGCAUCUUGGGAUGGCUUGCAUCCCACAGAAACGUCAUACAGGGCCAUUGCUGAUGGUUUGCUAAGAGGCCCAUACACCCAGCCUCCAAUUGCCACCACCAAAAAUUCAUGUUCAAAACUUACCGAGCUUGUCUCGUCUGCGGAAUACAAGGUUCUCUAUGAUUUGUAA
rnacentral:rRNA from 1 species